ensembl:ncRNA H08J11.5 ncRNA
UUUUGCUUACUUUAGUUUCUACGUGUUUUGAAACCGAUUUUUUGAUGACAAGAUUCAAAUUCCUAUAGAAUUAAUCCAAACCGCAAUCAAACGUGUGAUCAGAUUAAACUAUAACACGUUGUAAACAGAAUCACUUGAAAAAUGAGUUCCAAUGAACUAAAAAAAAGCAUAGGUUCCACCGAGAUUUGAACUCGGGUCGCAGGAUUCAAAGUCCUGAGUGCUAACCGCUACACCAUGGAACCGG